GUUUCUUUGUUUGUUUGUUCCCCUAUAACAGGUCAAAAUGUUAACGCUUUUGAUAAAUCAGUGUUUUCACAGCGGAGCUUGUGGGAAGGCGGGAGUGCGUAAUGAGGGUUCAUUCAUUCUUUCAUUCAACAGGUUGCAGCUUCAGCUAUUCAUUACGUAUUACUUGAGUAACUGAUAUUACAGGUAUUGCUUGCUAAUACUGGAAGGUACACGAUUCAAGACUCCGAAGAGAUGAGAGUUUAAAGGCCAAUCUGGCACGUGUAUACGGACAAUUUGAUGACGCAUUUGUGCAAUGCACUACAGAAGAAGGAACGUCCGAAGCAGCUUGGCAACGUGUAAAAUCGGUAGAAAAAGAUGUCCUAACUGAAAAGUGUGGAUUGUUGGCCUUUACCAGACAGGAGGAUCAGCCUGGAUUCCCAGCCUUCCUUGGUCCAAACUACCCCACUGUCACCUGAUGUCAGCCUCUGAUGUUCCAUGUAUAAUUAAUGUGGUCACCCUGGUAACCAAAUCCUAAUUGAAAGAUCUAAGAGUUGAUUCUAAAUACAAGAGACACAAAGAAGACUCCAAGUAUACUGAUCGAACUGGGAGUAGGUCUGGAGAGCUCAUCCUGACCUCAUAAAGGUUCUGUGCUGGCAGCAGUGAGAGUGGGAGUCUGUUUCCUCUGGUGCACCCUUCAGCCUCCCAGGAGCCCCAUCUCCAUGAACGCGAGCCAAAAGCAACUGUUUAGAAGUGAGAAGGCCAGGCAGGGUUCUCUUUACAAUCUGAGGAGUGGGGAAGUCAUAGGUGACUGAACAUGGUGGCAAGACCCAGUCAGAAUGGGCGAAUCUGAGGACUGUAUUCAGAAGUGUAUGGAAUUCAGCACCCAGAGGAGCCUUCAGAAACAGCUGCAUCGCCCUGAAUGGGGUCUGAAUUUAGUGAACGGGUGGCUUAUCCCAUAAUAAUUUGGGCUAUUUUUAAUUUUUUUAUGUUUACUUAUUUUUUUUUGAGAGAGAGACAGAGACAGAGAGACAGAGGGAGACACAGAAUCUGACACAGGCUGCAGGCUCUGAGCUGUCAGCACAGA